rnacentral:rRNA from 1 species
UCGAUGGGAAACGGGUUAAUAUUCCCGUACUUCUUACAAUUGCGAUGGGGGGACGGAGAAGGCUAGGUGGGCCUGGCGACGGUUGUCCAGGUUCAAGUACGUAGGCUGAAGAGUUAGGUAAAUCCGGCUCUUUCUAAGGCUGAGACACGACGUCGAGCUACUACGGUAGUGAAGUCAUUGAUGCCAUGCUUCCAGGAAAAGCCUCUAAGCUUCAGAUUGUAAGGAAUCGUACC